GGGGGCAUAGCUCAGCUGGGAGAGCGCUUGCAUGGCAUGCAAGAGGUCAGCGGUUCGAUCCCUCUUGUCUCCACCA
rnacentral:tRNA from 1 species